rnacentral:rRNA from 1 species
GUAGGUGGCAAGCGUUGUCCGGAAUUAUUGGGCGUAAAGCGCGCGCAGGUGGUUCUUUAAGUCUGAUGGUGAAAGCCCCCGGGCUCAACCGGGGAGGGUCAUUUGGAAACUGGGGAACUUGAGUGCAGGAGAGGAAAGUGGAAUUCCACGUGUAGCGGUGAAAUGCGUAGAUAUGUGGAGGAACACCAGUGGCGAAGGCGACUUUCUGGCCUGUAACUGACACUGAGGCGCGAAAGCGUGGGGAGCAAACAGGAUUAGAUACCCUCGGUAGUCCACGCCGUAAACGAUGAGUGCUAAGUGUUGGGGGGUUUCCGCCCCUCAGUGCUGCAGCUAACGCAUUAAGCACUCCGCCUGGGGAGUACGGUCGCAAAGACUG